AACGAACGCUGGCGGCAUGCCUAACACAUGCAAGUCGAACGAUUGCCUUCGGGUGAUAGUGGCGCACGGGUGCGUAACGCGUGGGAAUCUGCCCUUAGGUUCGGAAUAACAGCUGGAAACGGCUGCUAAUACCGGAUGAUAUCGCGAGAUCAAAGAUUUAUCGCCUGAGGAUGAACCCGCGUUGGAUUAGGUAGUUGGUGGGGUAAAGGCCUACCAAGCCGACGAUCCAUAGCUGGUCUGAGAGGAUGAUCAGCCACACUGGGACUGAGACACGGCCCAGACUCCUACGGGAAGCAGCAGUGGGGAAUAUUGGACAAUGGGCGCAAGCCUGAUCCAGCAAUGCCGCGUGAGUGAUGAAGGCCCUAGGGUUGUAAAGCUCUUUUACCCGGGAAGAUAAUGACUGUACCGGGAGAAUAAGCCCCGGCUAACUCCGUG
rnacentral:rRNA from 1 species